AAAUCCAGCAUACAAAACAAAACCAACCCAGAUGUCCUGUGGCAGCUUAGAGGAAUUAAGGAAAGGGAUGGAAAAAAAACCAGAAAAGAAAAGAAAAAAAGUGUUUUCUAAACUGCCGCUUCGGAGCUUUUAUCUAGAUUUAACGGAUACAUUAAUUCAAUUGACAUGCAGUUUAACCAGCCGACAACACAUGAAUACCUUCCACAAAUGGUAGGAUUUGCCUUCUUUCCCCCUGCAGAGACAUUACCACAGAUGUGAGCUUUUUCCUUCUGCUCUUUUCCUUCCCCCAUCUCUCUCUUUGUAGUAUUUUAGCAAAAAAUGAAAUGUACCACAUGUCUCCCAACACACAGGCACGGUAACCGUGAAAUGAGCUGCUCUCGGCUCCACGCUGCAGUUUCUCCCUUAACUGUCUCACUCUCUUAAUGCAAUUUUAUUGGCUUUUUAAAGUUUUGAUGGACAAAUAUUGAUAUGCUAAUGACUUUCAAACCAGUAUCCAAGAACAUAUUCUCUUACUUAAAAGAAAAAAAAAAGCCAAACAGAUUUUUGUUACCUAGGAUUGGCAUGAUGUCCAAGGACAGGUAUAAAAAGAAGCAAAACUGGGUGUUGGGAAAAUAGGGACAUGGCUAGAGAAAUUCUUAUAAGAGGAGAAAAAAGGAGAGAGAAUAAUGGAAUGCAUGCAAAAAUAAAGCAAAAGAAAGGAAAAAACCAGUACUGGAAGGGAAAUCUGACAUUUAAACCUCGGCUCCUUGCUGGUGCCCAUGGCAACUCCUCUGACAAGUUGGUAAAAACUAUUCUCUCCUUUGACUGCUUUCAAGGAUAAUCCUUGCUUCUCUUUCCUGGGAACCAUGACAGAUUUUCUCUCUUUGGGGACGGUGCUGGAGUUUCUUUUAUAAUGGCUCUAAUAAAUAAUGGAGUGUUAAUGUCUUUUAGGAUGACUAGCUGUGAAGUUGGGCCUGUUUAGGACACAUUUUCACACUUGUGUCCAAGUGAGGCAUUAUGUGGCAAGGAAUACAGGUACCUUCAAAUGUUUUUUAUCACAUUUGUUUGUGCUGUUUUAAAAAUUCAAAAUAGAAUCCAGCAUUAAAAAAAAAACCAAAAAUCAUUUAAAGGAAAACAACUUGAAUUGCUCCAUUGAGCUCAGCAUGUGGUAUUCACGGUUUCUAAAUUUAAAUAAUGUUUCCAUCUGCUCUGUUGUUCAGGAAUCUUAGGGAAAACUAUUAGAGAGCAGGAGGAGGGGGGAAGAGCAAGCAUACACAUAUUGAGGCAAGGUUAUGCUUUCUGUGUGGGAUACUUUUGAAGCAAACACAGGUCUGUACUGUGCUGGGUGUUUUCUCUGACACACAGAACCCCACAGUGCCAUAGAGUUUCCCUGAGGCCUGCCCAGCACAUCCUACUGCUCAUCCAGGGCUUUCAUCCAGGUGUGCUGGCAGCUGCCUGAGGACACUGGGGAGCAUCUCUCCUUCAAACAAUGUCUUCACUGCAGUUUGUGAGGGACAGCCUAACCUCCUGAGCACCUUCCCAAACAUCAGACACUGUCUCCUCGGGUGUAAGGUAAACUGGGCAUGGAGCAAGAAUGGAUGGAUCAGCUGCAGGAAUGAAGGUUCUCACACAUGGGCCUAUUGCUCUCAUUUCUUCACUGAAAUAUGAGCAAAAAUUUUAUCAUUUCCAGUAACCACAUUAAGUAGAAAGCGGAGUGCCAGAAGCUGUACAGCCUUGUAUUAAUAAGUCAAAGUCAGCAAGAUAAAAUGCACUCAGAAAUCCCUGGCAGCAUGAACAAGAUGCAUAGCUCUAGUCCAGAAGAGAAAAAACAUAGUGUAAGCAAGCCAUAAACCAUGUAUGUUUAAAGAAAGUCAUAAGGUUUUAUACUGUACUUAGAAUGAAAGCCUUUAAUAUAUUUAACAGCCAUCUGGAAAAUGGGCAGGACACAAAUGUGGUGAUAUUAUAAAAUGUACAAAACAAACAUGUCUAGGAGGACACAGAGAAGCCCAAGAAAGCUCGAGGCAGAAGGGCAGCAUGAGACAGAUGGAAUUAGUUGUGAGUAAAAGAAAAGUAAAAUAUAACCAAUAAUUAUAACUUCAAAUUUUGCACUUUCUGUGCAUUUAAAUGAGUUAAUUACCCAAGAAAGAGAAAGCCACUAAGGGACAAUGCCAUUAGAACCUACUGUGUCUGUGCCACAGAGCUUCUAAAAGCAAUUUCUCACAGUGAGGUUGGUAGUAGCACGUCAGUGUCGCAGGACUCUGAAUUCUUUUCAAACCCUCCGGGAAUGGUGAAGAAAUGGGGUAGGAACACAGCUCUGCAGUUUUGUUAUGCAAAUCCACAGUGCACUUCCUGAAACAUUUUGUUCAUUUCUCGUCACUGGUAACAGACACACACAAAGUUUUUGGGGGAACGGGAGAGCAGACUCUAAAAUGAUCGAUUUAAAUGAUUAAGGGAACGAGGACAUUUCCAUAUGAAGGACGAUUUACAAGUUCUGGGGCUGGUCUCUGUGUUCUGCUUGUGCAAUGCUCACUAUAAUGCACUGCCAGCCACAACAGUAGUGAGAAGCAGGACAAGGAGCUCAGCGCUACCCUGAUUAAAGAGGAUACAUCUUAGGGAAGCUGUGAUACCAGGCUACAAAGGACUGUGCAGAUCAAGAAGGAUGUUUGAAAGCCAAAAAUGUAAAACUGAUACAAAGUGCUCCAUAAUGAACCCAUCACCACACUCACCAAAGGCAAGGGCUCGAUGAGGUUUGAAAAGAUGGCUGUUUUUACAGCUAUGAAAUCCAUACCACUUCCUGAAAACAAUUAAAAGCUUUCGUAAUAAGACAAUCAUAAAAUACUACAGGAUAAGAUGAAAGAGGAGCACCUCAUUCUUCAAGCACUGAUUCAAGAAUGUAGUUAAGGAUUAACCUAAUUUUUACUUCUGGAUAUUGCCAAGUAGAGCAUGAUGGCAACUCACACACUUAAAAUUAGAAGGAAGUUUAAGCAGCCUAUGUAAAUUGAUGCCUGACUAAAGAAAGUGCAAGAGACACUCUUCCAGUAUGGAUGUAUCAUGCUGUAACCCUAAUUCAUAGUCAGAUUUUCUUCCUUCAGAAGCCAUAGUUGGCCCAGCAAUAUAAUAUUUGACAAGGUGAAGGCUGGAUUAAUUUUUCCAGAACAUGCUUAAAAAGUAAUUUAGUCAGUGGUAAUAGGUCUGAGAAAAUGUGCUUACUUUUAAAGCAGAAAGAGGUUAGACAAGGAUGGAAUAAAUAGCCUGGAAAAAGCAGAUGGUAUCGUGGUUGUGAUGGACCAUCAGGAAUGUCUCACUGCAAAAGGAAUGCAAACUAAAUGUGCCUCAGCAGUCCCACCUUUUAAUAGAGGCUCAUCCAACAGUUAUGCCAAAAAUAUGGGCUUGCUUUCCCUACAUGGUUGUUUUUUUUUUUUUUUUAGCAGUGCAGCCAUGACAAAUGACCACACAGUCAUGAAUUAGCUAAAAAUGUUUAAGCAAUAAUUAGUUUAGGGAUUAGUAAUUACAGAUUUUAAAAAUAUUUAAAUAUAAAAAGAAGGAAUACAAACAUUCUGCUCUUCAAAACCAACUGAUAGAAGAGUUUUCAAGAAAGUAAAAAUGCUUAAAACUUUUGUUUUUAAAGAACAUUGAGGGUCCUUUUUCAGCUGCUUGAGUACAGAAACUGGCACUCGAAGAAAAAUGUCAAACAGUGCAGCAAUCACAAAUUACAUAAAAUGUAAUCACAGAAUUUGGCAUCACUGUGCUAGAAUGCUAAAAUAUGCCCAAAAUACAUCCUGUUCUAGUGGGGAGAGCAUUCGACUGAGAAGGAUGAGGCAAGAUCUAUUUGUGGAUUUCAGCAGUGGCUUUCAGGGCAAUUAUAAAAACCACCUGUAGAGCUGCUUCCCAUUUUUAUUUUGAGACACAGCGUUGCACUGACAAAUCUGUACAAUGCUUAGUAAAAAUGGUUCCCAGUUUCAACUGGGGUUGUAUGUGUAACUUCACCAGAAAUAACAGCAAGAAAGAUACUCCAAAGCCCUGUAUUUAAUUCCUUGUGAGAAUACCAAGUCACAGGCAAUCUUAGCUGAGCUUUCAGACAGGCAGAGAGCAGGGGUUCAGGAAUCUCAGCAGCAGCUGCUUCUUCCUCUGGUGAAUAGACAAUGCAUGGUGGUCCUAAUGCACUCUUUCCCUGCCUUCUCUGCUCCUUGGGAUUGAGUGCAAACAUAAUAAUAAUAAUAAGAUACAAAUACAGACAUCACAGCCUAGAGCUACUCUUUUUAUCCCUAAAGCUUGAUAUUGCAGGUGUUAUUUAUACUGUCUGUUCCAUAAGGAAAUCUCUAGAAAGCAAAAUGAGGAGUUUCCAGCCUUUUGAAAGAUAAACAGCUUGCUGUGUGAAGGGGAGGAAGCACUAAUGCACAUAGCUUGAGCACAUUAUUCUUUGAUGUAUUACAGCAAAGUCAUUUCCAUGACACACUAACAUUGUUCCUUUAGGUACUGCUUCAGGAAGAGAGUAUUUCUGGUAAAAUCCUCAGGGAGCAGUAAAAACUCCAGCUGCCUGCCCUCAAGACAUGCUAAGUGAUGAUUUGAGUAUUGGAAGACAUCAGUGAUUCAGAUCUGAGGUACCUGAGCAUUAUCUAGGAGCAUCCCAUUCUCCAGGCAUCACAUUUGGACUGUAAAAGAACCCACUGCUUGUUUCUGCUGGACUCAGCUUUAAAAGAGUAACACACCUGAUUUAGGACAGAGCAGUUACAGACUCAUACACUGUGAGAUGGGUGACACUUUCACGUGCAGAUAAUCAGCCUUCCUAAACUAAGGCCUUGCGGAUCACUUCUUGGUAGCUGAUACCUAACCAGAGCUGGUGGCAGAAGUGAAGAAAGCAGAUCAGACACACAGGGUCAGGGACUCUGGAAAGUGGGGAAUUGGAGUCUGAAGAAGAAAUGGGGAAAAGAGGACAUUUUACCUCACUCUUUUGGACUGUAAAUAUGUAUAAUUUGUAUUCCCUUUUAAUGAGUUAUGCAAACAUUUGUAAUUUACAGGUAAUCUGAGCUACAGUCACAAAAUUAGAAGUCAGAUGUGGCAAGAAACCAAUACAACUGGGCAUUACACUACAAGCUGCUUCCAUUCUGCAUUUGGAUUAGACAUCACCUUUGCAAACCAAGAGGAGGCUCUGAGUUUGCAAAUGGAACCUCAAAGCAGCAGGACGUGAAAGGAAGGACAAAGUUUGCAACCUCAUGCUACAAAAUAUCUUGUCUUUGCAACAGAGAGAAACCUGAACAGAGUCCCGCUCCUGUAAGUCCCAAGCAUCCAAACUCACAGCUAUGUGGGAGGUCCCAGGAAUGAAAUUACCAUAGACCCUACAGGUACUACAGCUGAUUAAUUCCCUACAACUGCAGGCUCGGUGACCCCUGAAGAGCAUAAAACCAGCAGGAAGGAGUGGCUUCCUUGGCAGUGUGUGUGGUACAUGCAUGAGCCAGGGGAUGUCACUCCCAGCCAGAACAGGCCUCCCACACUUCCUUCACGAAUUCCCCCCGAAAAGGCCCUUCUGGCCUUUGAAACAGCAAACAGGGGCUUCAGCUCUCACCAGACCUCUGUACUGUCAGAACCAUGGCCAGCCAGUCUGCAUUUCUCUCUCCUCAUGUGACUCCUUCUAGGGAUCUCUCAUCUGCUCCAUUCCCAUCAUCCUGGCACAUCUCCCUAGCUCCAGCUCCCCUUUUGGAUCACACAUCAUCUCCCUUCCAAAUGCUGUACCAGGACAAAGUCAUGUCUGUGUGUGACAGGGAAGGAAGUGCUUUAUCUGCUGAGUUCCUUAAAAUCUAUUCCAACCUUCUAAAAUGUCUGCCAGUGACUGAAGCAAAACCAAUGCUUUUCCAAUGAAGGUUUAAAAACCUGUAUCUUUAGUAAAUUUCAGAAUAUCCCACAUAAAGCAGGACUAUAUUUCACUGAACCUACCACCCCCAUACAUGAAUUCUGUGAGAGAUGGAGCCUUACCAAAACACCACUGACCUAACAGCAAGGUGUGCUCAGGGCAGUAGAUCCCUCUUGUCUCACGGACAAAGCUGCCAGAAGACUCUAGAUGAAAAUCAGUGACAAACUGGGAGUAAUAGCUGGACUCUGUUUACGCUGAGGAAAUAGAAUGGGAUGAAAAAGAACUCCCUGCACUCUCAGACCCUCCAGCCAAACUCACAAGAUGCCAUGAGUCUUGUACUAGUAUGCUGCUCUUGCAUAACACCAUCAGAUACUGCUCUUCUGGUCAUGCCUGAUGUUUUGGAGGACAGUUUUAUUUGUUGAUAUAGAAACAACUGAGAAAGGAAUUUUCCCCCCUCAAGACAGAUGGUGAAACAUCUGUAUAUGGAUCAGUGUUACCACAUCUGCCUCGUUCAUGAUCAGCAAUUGCCUCUACCACAGCCAAAACAGAAAUGUAGGCGGCUUGAGCUAAAGGCUUUAACUCAACAAGCAAGAUAAGAAAUGAGGAAAAAAAUCCUACACAUUCCCCAGGAAACCAUAAGUAGGCAGAAAUCAAGCCCCCAGUUCAGAAGAACUCUUUAUGCUUGAGUGUUUUGUGGACACUUGAAGAAGACAAACCCUGCAGUGGCACGGAGCCACUGAGUGCUGGUCAGCACUUGGUUCAGUGACAGUUCCCAGAGCAAAGCUCCUGAAAGUGCCAACAUCAUUCCAUGGAACUGCCCCAGUGGCUCCAGCUGCAGUCCCAGUCCAGCACGAUCCUGGUCAGGCAGAGCAGCAGACAGGGCACCGAGCAGACAAACUAAAGCCAGGACAGAGAAACAGCACUGAGCUUUGGCUUUACCUUUCCAGCAGGAACACCAUGCACAAGGACUGUGGAACAAUAUCUCAGUAAACAAUAAAACCCUCAAUUAAUAAGGGAACUAGUCACAUGCUUUUUGCCUGACAUUUCUAUACAGUAUAUAAGUAAAUGUUAUCUCAAAAUAUCUUGCUGCUGGCAACGUAUUAUCCUAUCAGUGCAUGAUUUGACAUGUGCUUUCCUUUAACAACCAGAGAGGCAAUAAGCAGAAUCUAUGGAGCUUCUCUCAGCUUGAAUUCCUCUACAACUCAGAGGGAUACUGCAACUGCAUCCACCACACAUAUGGAGUCAUAAAAUACUCAUCACUGAUUCUCAGGAGCAGGUUCAAUUAUUUUGGUAGAUUGGCACUUCAGCUCCUUGACAAAGUUUACUAGCACCUAAUUUUACAAAUCUUGAGAACAAACAAGGGAGAAAUCAGUGUUUCUGCCUUUGGCAGCCCACAAGAAUGAUGACAUCCUUCCUAAACCUCAACCAAGUCUAAGGUUAUAGAUACAACAUUUAAUCUCAUUCUGCUUUUUGCACAUCUGUAUUACUGGUUUAUACAGCAGUUCUGUAAAGAUUCCCUGUAGACUUCAAAAAAUUUUUAUUUCAAAACUGAUUUAUGAACUGAGAGUCAUGUUCCGUGCUUAUGGUGCUUUUAUCCCUAAAAAUGAAAAGCUGAGAGUGAGUGAUAGGUAUCUCCUGUUAACAGGACUUUAGGACUAUUUGUUUUCCAUUUUCAUUUCCCAGCACAGUCAUAAAUCGGUGUCGGAUUGAUUCAAUGACCCAGAUAUCACUGCUUCCACAACUUGGUCAUUUUUAUCUCCUCAUCAAAAAAAAUGGUUGCAAUACAGGAAGGAUCUUUAUGUCUUUUUCUAUCAAGUUGCUAUGCCAGUUAUUUGCAACAUAGAUGCUAAAAUGGACAUGUCACAGGAAAGUUAUUAUUAUUUUUAUUGCAAACAGAACAGAAUUAGCCACAGCUGCAAACUGAAAUUUUAUUCCUCAGCCUUUUUAUUAAAAUUAGCUCACUUUGUCAUCUGGUGUCCAAUUAUCUCUCAGACAGACAAACUGCAUCUUCCACACAGAAGAAAAAAGCAGACUGAACAUCUCCUUCACUGGAACAGUGUUUCCCUUUUGAUCCCUCUUGGUAAGAUGAAGGUAAAAACAGCCAUGCAUGUUCCUCUGUCCUACACAGGAAGCUUCCCAUCUGUCCACAAACAAGGGCUCAUUUUUAUUGCUUUGGACAUUUCCUAGGGAACAGAAAGUACCACUGCCAAUUUCUGUCCCAGGAAGUACGAUGUUUGAUUUUAAUUAUAUUUCCAGAGCUUUUUAGGACUACAGCAUUUCUAAUUACUAGUGCAAACUGAAGGUAUCAGGAUAGGAUGCCCUCCUGACAUCUUAAGUGCAGCAAAACAGAUGAGCUGAUCACUCCAUUCCUCGCCUCAGGGUAUGGAUCAAUGUCAAAGGAAGGAUAAUAGACUAUAGAAACCUCUCCUGGGCACUGGGAAAAGGCACCUGAGGAGAUGCUUUACUCUGAUGGGAGGUCCCAUCAAAGCAUUCUGUGACAGGAGAGAAACAAAUUCCGAAUGGUGACACCACCAAAGUCCUGCAGAAACCUGGUGAAAGCCCUCUGUAAUACCUGAAUCCCACAUUUCUGCAUGGAAAAAAAUUCCUGAAACACUGGACAGGGAAUACACUGCUGAGUCUACAUACUCCUCCUGUAUGUUAACAAGUGGGUGAGAAUGGGAAGAAACUAUUUCUAUAGUUACCUAUUUACCCACUGCUCACCCUCCCCCUGCUCCGCUCUCCUGGCUUAGUGCCUGCAGAGGAUCCCAGUUUGGAAUCCAUGAUCUGAAAACAGUAACAGAAUUUAACAAAAAAGCAAUUGGCGAGACCAUUGAAAUAAUACAGCGAAGAUUAAUUAUUUCUAAGAAUUACUGCCAACUACCGAAAAAAAAAAAAAAAAAAAGAAAGCCAAGAAAAGUUUUAACUGAAAAUAAUUACAGUUUCCUAAACCUCGGAAUGCAAUGGAUUUAGUUAAUAUGCAAAAUUCUCUUUGGAGCUAUGCAAAUAAUUGGGUUAUGGAGAUGCAUGAGAGAUGGGUUUGUAUCAUGAAUCAAGGUAAGAGAAUUUCAUCACAAAAGAACAGCUGUUCCAGGGCUUGACUUCUGAAAACAAAGUUAUGUUUAAAAAAAAUCUCAAAAAAGCUCCCUGGCAAUAUUCAGUAUUAAGG
ensembl:lncRNA